UUUCCGUAGGUGAACCUGCGGAAGGAUCAUUACCGAGUUAGGGUCUCCUCCGUGAGGCCCGACCUCCCAACCCCGUGUCUAAUAAACCUGUUCGUGUUGCUUCGGCGGAACGGCAGUCGUCCCCUCGGGGUCUACCGUCGCCGGGGGCUUAACGGUCUCACGACCGUCCCCUGGAGAGCGUCCGCCGAUGGCCCAAUCAAAACUACCAAACCCAAACCAUGAACUAAAUAUUUUCUGAAUCAGACUUUUGAUAUACCAAUCAAAAACAAAACUUUCAACAACGGAUCUCUUGGUUCUG
rnacentral:misc_RNA from 1 species